AAUUGCUCUUCUCUGUGGAUGAUAGAGGGUGGCUGAUCUAUAGAAGAUCCCCAGAAUAGAACAACUUGUACAUACACCUAGGAUGAAUGAGCUUGAACCUGUAAUAGCUUGAAGGCCUAAUCUCCAUCCGACCUCCUUUAGUGUUGAUCUCAUGAAUACACUGAUAAUAAUAAUACCCAACCCACUCCCAGCUACAACAACAACCUAGAUAAAUACAAUAAUAAUAAUAAUACCCAACCCACUCCCAGCUACAACAACAACCUAGAUAAAUACAAUAAUAAUAAUAAUACCCAACCCACUCCCAGCUACAACAACAACCUAGAUAAAUACAAUAAUAAUAAUAAUACCCAACCCACUCCCAGCUACAACAACAACCUAGAUAAAUACAAUAAUAAUAAUAAUACCCAACCCACUCC